rnacentral:rRNA from 1 species
AUGAACGCUGGCGGCGUGCCUAAUACAUGCCAGUCGAGCGAACGGACGAGAAGCUUGCUUCUCUGAUGUUAGCGGCGGACGGGUGAGUAACACGUGGAUAACCUACCUAUAAGACUGGGAUAACUUCGGGAAACCGGAGCUAAUACCGGAUAAUAUUUUGAACCGCAUGGUUCAAAAGUGAAAGACGGUCUUGCUGUCACUUAUAGAUGGAUCCGCGCUGCAUUAGCUAGUUGGUAAGGUAACGGCUUACCAAGGCAACGAUGCAUAGCCGACCUGAGAGGGCGAUCGGCCACACUGGAACUGAGACACGGUCCAGACUCCUACGGGAGGCAGCAGUAGGGAAUCUUCCGCAAUGGGCGAAAGCCUGACGGAGCAACGCCGCGUGAGUGAUGAAGGUCUUCGGAUCGUAAAACUCUGUUAUUAGGGAAGAACAUAUGUGUAAGUAACUGUGCACAUCUUGACGGUACCUAAUCAGAAAGCCACGGCUAACUACGUG